UUACUGAGUCCACAUCUGUCUUCAGACG
rnacentral:piRNA from 1 species